rnacentral:rRNA from 1 species
AGACCCGAAACCCGGUGAUCUAGCCAUGGGCAGGUUGAAGGUUGGGUAACACUAACUGGAGGACCGAACCGACUAAUGUUGAAAAAUUAGCGGAUGACCUGUGGCUGGGGGUGAAAGGCCAAUCAAACCGGGAGAUAGCUGGUUCUCCCCGAAAGCUAUUUAGGUAGCGCCUCGUGAAUUCAUCUCCGGGGGUAGAGCACUGUUUCGGCUAGGGGGCCAUCCCGGCUUACCAACCCGAUGCAAACUGCGAAUACCGGAGAAUGUUAUCACGGGAGACACACGGCGGGUGCUAACGUCCGUCGUGAAGAGGGAAACAACCCAGACCGCCAGCUAAGGUCCCAAAGUCAUGGUUAAGUGGGAAACGAUGUGGGAAGGCCCAGACAGCCAGGAUGUUGGCUUAGAAGCAGCCAUCAUUUAAAGAAAGCGUAAUAGCUCACUGGUCGAGUCGGCCUGCGCGGAAGAUGUAACGGGGCUAAACCAUGCACCGAAGCUGCGGCAGCGAACGUAUCACUUAAAGCGAUUCAGCGGGUUACGAUUGACGGAGCGAAGCGACGUCAAAGCGUAUACAAAGUCGAGUCGGUUUAAGGAUACGUUCGUUGGGUAGGGGAGCGUUCUGUAAGCCUGUGAAGGUGUGUCGUGAGGCAUGCUGGAGGUAUCAGAAGUGCGAAUGCUGACAUAAGUAACGAUAAAGCGGGUGAAAAGCCCGCUCGCCGGAAGACCAAGGGUUCCUGUCCAACGUUAAUCGGGGCAGGGUGAGUCGACCCCUAAGGCGAGGCCGAAAGGCGUAGUCGAUGGGAAACGGGUUAAUAUUCCCGUACUUGGUGUUACUGCGAAGGGGGGACGGAGAAGGCUAUGUUGGCCGGGCGACGGUUGUCCCGGUUUAAGCGUGUAGGCUGGUUUUCCAGGCAAAUCCGGAAAAUCAAGGCUGAGGCGUGAUGACGAGGCACU